rnacentral:lncRNA from 1 species
UAUUCCUCUAUUUUGUUAUUUACCACCGGUAACGUUAGUGUUACGUAUCGCCGCUAUAUCGGUGUAUCGUUGAAAUCGAGAGGUUAUCAUUGUCGUGGUCAGAUAGCUUCGUUAGCAAUGGUAGAUAGUCGAAAUGGUUGUACUAAUCGUAACUCGAUAGAUGAUUCAGCCAUUACUGCUCGACCAACUGAGACAACCUGUAACAGGUGAUAUUUGUACCUGCGAGUGCACCAGUGACAGCAACGCUCUAUUUGAUUGUGUGUGUGCUAUGGCAUCGCCAUUGGUAAGCCCUCAAUCUGUGAUUAUACGCUAAUGGCCGUUAUGUGUGCCAAUUAAUUUGCGACUGGGUACCUGCUUUCACUGAAGCGUAUACUACUAUGAAUACCAUAGUACUGAGGGGGAUGGAGAUGGCAGGAAGUUGAAGUUAGGGACGGACUAGAGAGGGCCUGGCGGCACGACGCGAGCGGUAAAGGCGACGAUUGUGCUUCAAUUGGCCAACCAAUAAUGAAUUUAGUGAAGUGACGGUGGAUGAUGCGAUCUUACGGCACUAUCGUCGCGAUGUAGAUUUGGUGGGCAAUAAGAGGGUUACCCAUGUACUGAUCUGCUGAUUCUCUGAUCGCCGUGACUGCCGAUAUGGAGAAGAACAGGAACAGAAAAAAUGAGUGGCAAACGACUACGUGCCUGUGCCUCCGAAAAAGCAAAGAACAAAAAUAAACCUCUUCGAUUAUAUGGAAAACUCAUCCUCAGGAACCAUUCAACUAUAUCAAUCUAGCGGAACGCCAGCAUCAUUAAUUAGUCUGCAAGCACGUACAUGUGCACGACAAUAAAAAAAAUAUUGCAACCGACCUAGUAAAUAAAGACAACGUGUGUGGGUGGGAAGGCAAUUGACUGAACGCGCUAUACUGCCUAAACACACGUUAUCUGCUAAUCCGAGCAUCAGCUCUGACGACAAAGAAUCGUCUUUGUUUGCACAGAGGGUCGAGCGGUGAAGCAGAGAGGUGGUCAAUACGAAUUCAGUUUUUCUGUUAAGUCGAAAGGAUCGGUGAGGAUGUUGGUAACGAACAAGCGUAAUUGGUCACCAAAAAAAAGACUGAAAAGCAAUAGCCACGGUCCAGCGCUAACAACAGUACCUAUAUGAGGGACACAAUAUUUCAGUCGAGGAGACCGGCGGUGGCGGCCGGUAACUUCGACGUGGAUCCGAAAAUGUGCUGUCGCGUAGGUAGGCAGAAAAUGGAAAAGCUAACUCUGAAAUCUGUUCCGCAAAGCACCGUCCUAUUUUAGGCUAGCGUUCAUUCUGUUUACGUCUCGUUCAACGACUGGCAACAAAUAAUUUUCAAAACGACGUCUGUGUUGACUAGUCAUCGAUUUAGGAAAGCAGUCAUUUCUUUGGAAAAGAUUGAAAAAGCAUCGAAAAUAAAGCAGCGUCAUCCACCUUCUGAUGCAAACGAGUGAAGUUCUGGCGGUAGUGACAUUCACAAUGUCCAUUGUAUGUACAUAGCACUAAAUUGAAAAUUUUCUAAAUGAAUUGGUGAGCAGACGAAAGGCACGACGAACAGUUUAUUAAUGAGUAUUUACUGAAAAUAGGAAAGCGAUCAUAAUAGCAGAAUUCAACUUCAUUCUUAUAAUUGUGUCGGCCAAUACCUCUUCAACGCUAGCGAAUUAACUUGGGAUCUGUAAUGUACGAUGAGCCAAGUGCGAAGGCUUGCCAUUUACAAGUUUGAUGUAGAGCAAAAAAGAACCAAAGCUAACACGGUUCAUUAUUGCGACUGCUAAUACUAUUAUUAUUUCCACUAACAGAAGGCACUACGCAUAGCAGCGAUAACUAGAUCGAUAUUGUUUUCCUUGUCAUUGACAAAAGAACAACCUUUAACUAUAUCAUGGACACUACGAGGUCACCACCGCAACGACUUUUCGCCGUUGCCUCUGGCCUAGCUUUUUUUUGUCUCGCCGGUGGCCCGGCCAGUAUUUCCCGCAGUUUUAUUGUCAAGCUACGUUCUAGCAUCUGACAAACUGUUACGUUUGUAUUGUGAAUGUAACUGAAAAAGGUGGGAUGGUAAUUAUUGAUCUUCAGCUUUUUGUCGCAUCCAUCGACGGUCGCAGGUUCAUCUCCGCCGUUUCAAAUUCCGGUUAUUUUUCAGUUUCCUCUCUGCAAUCUCUCGCUUUAUUCCAGGUUUCUCUUUUGCCAGUUACACAUAGUACCCAUAUGGGAACGCAUGUGCCGGCUAAUAUCCACCCCUUGGCCAACGUAAAGCCAGUAGUAGCGACAUAAUUAGAUAUGGCGCUAACAUUUGUUUCUCUUGUCACUGCUGAAACAUAAGGAGAUGCGCUAUACCGAAGCAAAAUCAGAAAAACACAUGACAUAUGAGAGCACGUGUCGUGCCUCCGCCCGAUACGACCACCAGCGUCAUCACGGGGAUACUGCUGCUGCUGCUAUCUUUCAAGUUACAUCGGUGACUUCGGUGGCGAAACAGCAUCAACCAGAUAAAAACUCUUUUCAUUCGUGUUGACAUCUUUUCGUUGUUUUUCUCUGUUUUCCUCCUUUUUUUCGUGUUGCGGCCUCUCCUCUCAGUCUUUGGUUUUCAAGCGCUGCCGCCAAGCUAAAGUAACCGAAGUACUCAGCAAACCGACGGCUGUUGGCCGACGACGUCGUGACAACACCAAUUGUGACGACUCCACUACUCUGUUUGUCUGGAUCCGUCAGUAACUGCUACAAUGAUGGCCACAUAGACACAACACAGACAUCGCCGCCUUCGAUAAGAUAACAUCGUCAGAAAACAUAAAAAUAUAGAAAGAGAGAGAGAAACGACAACAACAAAGCGAAGGCAAAAAAAGCCAAAACGAAGACAAAAGUCAAAGAUAACAUCAGUGGUUAAGUGAACAAGUGAAUGAAAAACGAUUGGCUCUAUUAGAUUGACGGGGCGGUCAAGUUAGCGGAGCAAGUGCGUUUACGUCUGGUGCGUAAAAUGCGUCCGCUCGUCCUGAACAUACCCUGCCCAGCCCAUCUGUGUAUGUCUGUUGGGUAUGCCCCCACUGGACGGAUAGCCCUGGGUAACACGAGUCAACGAGUUUUGCUCGGGAGGCGCCGCUCCCCCUGGCGUCCAUCGUUUGUGCUACGAUCGUCUCUGAUACCAAUCCCGGGAUGGCAGCACCUGCGAAAAGUCGAGAAGGAGGCACCGUGCCGCGACCGUUAUCGUUGCUUUAAUUUAUGAUAGUUUACAUGGACCGCAGGCACAGUUUACUGCGGCUACUACUGGAGUUUCAACUGCUUCAGCUGGUGCCCGCGCAGACAAACACAGCAUGUAGGCAUAGCUUGUUAUUACGCGGGGUACGUCGAACCGUUAUUACAUGGCAAUAGCGGAACAAUUAUUGUCGUUGUAAAGGCGAGCUAUCUAGAGGAAGCCAUUGUGGAAGAAUGAAGCAUUGCUAAUAUUAGCGGAUACAUACCGGCUACUAAGAAACAACUUGCGCUGUCACUGCGACAAAAAUUAUCGUUCAAGACCCUAAUAAGUACACACAGUAGAAAUUUGAAAAGGCGGAUGUUCUAGAAACUGCGUGUCAGGAUGGAUAAUUGUUCCAAGUUUCACCUGAAGUUACGCCCUCUUAUUGCGCCUGCCGAUUAAAAAUAUAUUUUUACCGUUUUUUUUUUGCAACAUUUAGGAAACGUAUUUCAUGCAAAAUAAUGAAUAAAUAAUAAAUAAAAAUACUGAAAAGGAAUAAAAAAUAUUGAGUUGAAUGAAGAAUGUUGCGCUACAGCAAAUCGAACCAGCAAGUGUUUGGCUUAUUGAUUAUUAAUUUAUUCAUUUUAGUGAAUCGUCUUUCGAAGCAUCUCGUUAGUUGCACGCCACGCUGAUCUUCACACCGAUAUCAUAACUUACCUAUAUAGCACAAUAAAUUAGUGAGGUUAAAAACUUAUUUUGUUGAAACAGUAAAAUCCAUACUUUCGAUUUAGCAGUGAUUACUAAUAUGAUUAGUGUUCUUAUUAAAGCUUUUCCACUUUGGUAUGAACGACUUCAGCUUUGUUAGUUCAUGUUAAGCUAAGCUCAGAUCUUCUAUGCUACUUAGAUACCGUAGUGUGCUAGAUAAAUGUAGGAGUAAUCUCUAUUUCAACGUUUCUAUUUUCAAUAAAAUUAGCAGCAAAGCUACAACAAAGUUGUUCGCGCUACUCGACAGAUGGCGAGGGAUUUUUAGAUUGUGUCAUCUAACUAUAUAAAUUCAGAAAGAAGCUUCCAUUCGUCGCCGAGCUUUAGGGUCAAACAUAUGGACACU